GACGAACGCUGGCGGCGUGCCUAAUACAUGCAAGUAGAACGCACAGUUUAUACCGUAGCUUGCUACACCAUAGACUGUGAGUUGCGAACGGGUGAGUAACGCGUAGGUAACCUGCCUGGUAGCGGGGGAUAACUAUUGGAAACGAUAGCUAAUACCGCAUAAUAUUAAUUAUUGCAUGAUAAUUGAUUGAAAGAUGCAACUGCAUCACUACCAGAUGGACCUGCGUUGUAUUAGCUAGUAGGUGAGGUAACGGCUCACCUAGGCGACGAUACAUAGCCGACCUGAGUGGGUGAUCGGCCACGAUGGGACUGAGACACGGCCCAGACUCCUACGGGAGGCAGCAGUAGGGAUUCUUCGGCAAAGGACGAAAAACUGACCGAGCGACGCCGCGUGAGUGAAGAAGGGUUUCGGAUCGUAAAGCUCUGUUGUAAGAGAAGAACGGGUGUGAGAGUGGAAAGUUCACACUGUGACGGUAUCUUACCAGAAAGGGACGGCUAACUACGUG
rnacentral:rRNA from 1 species